rnacentral:rRNA from 1 species
GAUGAACGCUGGCGGCGUGCCUAAUACAUGCAAGUCGAGCGAACAGACGAGGAGCUUGCUCCUCUGACGUUAGCGGCGGACGGGUGAGUAACACGUGGAUAACCUACCUAUAAGACUGGGAUAACUUCGGGAAACCGGAGCUAAUACCGGAUAAUAUAUUGAACCGCAUGGUUCAAUAGUGAAAGACGGUUUUGCUGUCACUUAUAGAUGUAUCCGCGCCGCAUUAGCUAGUUGGUAAGGUAACGGCUUACCAAGGCAACGAUGCGUAGCCGACCUGAGAGGGUGAUCGGCCACACUGGAACUGAGACACGGUCCAGACUCCUACGGGAGGCAGCAGUAGGGAAUCUUCCGCAAUGGGCGAAAGCCUGACGGAGCAACGCCGCGUGAGUGAUGAAGGUCUUCGGAUCGUAAAACUCUGUUAUUAGAGAAGAACAAAUGUGUAAGUAACUAUGCACGUCUUGACGGUACCUAAUCAGAAAGCCACGGCUAACUACGUG